GGAGAAGAGGCUCAGGCAUGGCGGGCUGCAGGUCCGGAGCCCUGCCCCGCGGGGAGGCACCUAAGGCCCCGCGAGAAAUCGAGCGCAGCGCCGGUAGGCUGGCACUGCUGGGGGACCCAGCGCACCCUCCUCAGCUGCUGGCCCGGUUGCUAAACCCUGCUGGUCCGGGUGCUAAGCUCCUCAUUGCCCAGGGAGGCGGGGCCCGCCAAACCCACGCCAACCCGGAACUCUAGCUGGCCCGCAAGGGCUACGCGCAGCCCCGGUUCCUGCCCGUGCCUCUCCCUCCGCACUUCCCCUCAGGCUGAGGGAGCUGGCUCCUGCCUCGGCCAUCCCAGGAAGAGGCUCCCACAGUGCAGCGACGGGCUGAAGGGCUCCUCAGGCGCGGCCAGAGUGGGCGCCCAGGCCGAGGAGGCGCCAAGAGCGAGCGAGGGCUGCGACGACUGCCAGCAUGCUGUCACCUCUCACUAUGACUGUCUGGGAUCUGCUUUAUAAAUAAACAAGCUUCCUACAAUUAUCCUCAUCUCAUGGAAAAACUAGACAGAGGAAAAGAAAAGAGGCAAAUGGAGCUUCCUUUGCUAAGAGCUCAAAUAACUCUCCUCUACAUAGUCUUCUUCAAACAAAAACACAAAGCUAAUUUUCCAUUUACUCUUUGAGAGUUCCACAGAAAAACAAAAAAACCAAGUGACAUUAAUUGAUACUGGACACAAUCUGUGAUAUCAGUGAUUAAGUUGGAGUUAUGCAAGUGGAUCAUUUGCCACCAACCAGAAAAUAAGGAUUCCUUUCAAGUGGAUGUGGGAUAUGAAUAUUUUUUGGCACAAGACAGUAGUUCAAUUGGUAAAAAUUUCAUCAAUGGUGACUUUGGAGAAUGUCAUGUUGCAGGUGAAUGUCCUAACCAGGACAAUAUUCAUGCAUUUGAAAAAUCCAGCGUGAGAAACAUAGAAAGGAAGAAGACCAUCACCAGAGAUGAAUGGACAUUUGAUAUUACCAAGAAUAUGCAUAAUGACUUGGAAGUUACCAUUUGAACAAUUGACAUUCUUGAGCAUCUUAGGUUGGAUUUCCUAGGAACAGAACCUGUGACAGGAAUUCAGGUGGAGCUGUUUUAGGCUGGGUGCUGUGGCCCAGGCCUGGAAUCCCAGCACUUCAGAAGGCCAAGGCAGGAGAAUCGCUUGAGCCCAGGAGUUCAAGAGCAGCCUGGGCAACAUGUUGAAACAUCAUCUCUAUACAAAUAUACGCACAAAAAUUAGCUGGACAUGGUGGUGUGCACCUGUAGUCCUAACUACUCAGGAAGCUGUGGUGGAAGAAUCACUUGAGCCCAGGAGGUCGAGCCUGCAAUAAGCUGUGAUUGCACCACUGCACUCCAGCGUGGAUGACAGAGCAAGACACCCUGUCUCAAAAAAAAGACUAUACAACAGAGCUCUGAAAAAGAUCACACUUUCAGGCUCAAGGAGCUCUCUUGUUCCUUCCACCAUCUGAGAACACAGUGAGAAGUCCCCAGGCUUCAACCUGAAAAAGGGCCCUCAUCAGAACCUGAUCAUCAGAACUUGGCACCCCAAUCUUUGUCUUCUGAUCUACAUUGUGACCUAAGUCAGUUAUACUCUCUUCUGCUGCCAUGUGAGAAGGCCCAGGCUUGCUUCCCCUUCACCUUC
rnacentral:lncRNA from 1 species